rnacentral:tRNA from 1 species
GGGGAUAUAGCUCUGUGGUAGAGCAUUUGUCCAGCAUACAUGAGACCCUGGGUUCCAUCCCCAGCAUACACA